rnacentral:rRNA from 1 species
ACGGGUGAGUAACGCGUGGGAAUCUACCCAUCUCUACGGAACAACUCCGGGAAACUGGAGCUAAUACCGUAUACGUCCUUUUGGAGAAAGAUUUAUCGGAGAUGGAUGAGCCCGCGUUGGAUUAGCUAGUUGGUGGGGUAAUGGCCUACCAAGGCGACGAUCCAUAGCUGGUCUGAGAGGAUGAUCAGCCACACUGGGACUGAGACACGGCCCAGACUCCUACGGGAGGCAGCAGUGGGGAAUAUUGGACAAUGGGCGCAAGCCUGAUCCAGCCAUGCCGCGUGAGUGAUGAAGGCCCUAGGGUUGUAAAGCUCUUUCAACGGUGAAGAUAAUGACGGUAACCGUAGAAGAAGCCCCGGCUAACUUCGUGCCAGCAGCCGCGGUAAUACGAAGGGGGCUAGCGUUGUUCGGAAUUACUGGGCGUAAGGCGCACGUAGGCGGAUACUUAAGUCAGGGGUGAAAUCCCGGGGCUCAACCCCGGAACUGCCUUUGAUACUGGGUAUCUCGAGUCCGGAAGAGGUGAGUGGAAUUCCGAGUGUAGAGGUGAAAUUCGUAGA